rnacentral:rRNA from 1 species
AUGAACGCUGGCGGCGUGCCUAAUACAUGCAAGUCGCGCGCACAGACGAGGAGCUUGCUCCUCUGACGUUAGCGGCGAACGGGUGAGUAACACGUGGAUAACCUACCUAUAAGACUGGGAUAACUUCGGGAAACCGGAGCUAAUACCGGAUAAUAUAUUGAACCGCAUGGUUCAAUAGUGAAAGACGGUUUUGCUGUCACUUAUAGAUGGAUCCGCGCCGCAUUAGCUAGUUGGUAAGGUAACGGCUUACCAAGGCGACGAUGCGUAGCCGACCUGAGAGGGUGAUCGGCCACACUGGAACUGAGACACGUUCCAGACUCCUACGGGAGGCAGCAGUAGGGAAUCUUCCGCAAUGGGCGAAAGCCUGACGGAGCAACGCCGCGUGAGUGAUGAAGGUCUUCGGAUCGUAAAACUCUGUUAUUAGGGAAGAACAAAUGUGUAAGUAACUAUGCACGUCUUGACGGUACCUAAUCAGAAAGCCACGGCUAACUACGUG